rnacentral:rRNA from 1 species
GGGCGUAAGCGCGCGCAGGCGGUUUCUUAAGUCUGAUGUGAAAGCCCCCGGCUCAACCGGGGAGGGUCAUUGGAAACUGGGGAACUUGAGUGCAGAAGAGGAGAGUGGAAUUCCACGUGUAGCGGUGAAAUGCGUAGAGAUGUGGAGGAACACCAGUGGCGAAGGCGACUCUCUGGUCUGUAACUGACGCUGAGGCGCGAAAGCGUGGGGAGCGAACAGGAUUAGAUACCCUGGUAGUCCACGCCGUAAACGAUGAGUGCUAAGUGUUAGAGGGUUUCCGCCCUUUAGUGCUGCACCAAACGCAUUAAGCACUCCGCCUGGGGAGUACGGUCGCAAGACUGAAACUCAAAGGAAUUGACGGGGGCCCGCACAAGCGGUGGAGCAUGUGGUUUAAUUCGAAGCAACGCGAAAAACCUUACCAGGUCUUGACAUCCUCUGACUACCCUAAAGAUAGGGCUUCCCCUUCGGGGGCCUAGUGACAGGUGGUGCAUGGUUGUCGUCAGCUCGUGUCGUGAGAUGUUGGGUUAAGUCCCGCAACGAGCGCAACCCUUGAUCUUAGUUGCCAGCAUUCAGUUGGGCACUCUAAAGUGACUGCCGGUGACAAACCGGAAGAAAGUGGGGAUGACGUCCAAUCAUCAUGGCCCUUAUGACCUGGGCUACACACGUGCUACAAUGGGCAGA